AGCUCAGAGAGUUAGGAGUUAAUAUACUUUAUUUCUGACUCAUAGGUCCAUAUCAUCAUAAAAAGCACAUACUUUCGCUUUCUUCUACCCUGCUCAUUUCUUUUAAACAGUUUGGCAGCAGGCCCAGGUCAAACAAAGGGACCCACAGGUUUGAAUGUCUGAGAGCAGAGGAGAGAAGAAGACACCAGUGGUCGAUGAUUUCCUGACGGUCAAACCUUCUUCAAAGUCUGUGGGUCAAACGCUUCUUCUCAGAUCGCAGCGCGAGCCUCAACUGCGGAAGAGAAACCGAAACUAAAUGUUUUAUAUCCGAGCAGCAGACAGAGAGCGGUAAGUCCCCUCUGAGUCUGCCAUGAUGAUGACGGUGUGUUAAAGAGAGAGGAAAGAAACAUACAUUCUUAUAAGUUUCACUGCAUCCACUCGAAGUCCAGCUUUAAUUACACUCUGUUGAAUAAACGACAGCUUUUAUGUUGCUCCCUCCCUGUACUGUCACAUGUGUUCAGUACAGAGGUAAUAUGAUCCUGGUGUAGGUUUCCAAACAGUCCAACAACGCCACCUUGUGACCAGAGGCUAAACCUGCUCCUACAGUAAUCUACACAUCAUCCUCUGAAUACAAUAUAUCCAGUAGU